UACGAAGGGGGCUAGCGUUGUUCGGAAUCACUGGGCGUAAAGCGCACGUAGGCGGCGCGUUAAGACAGGGGUGAAAUCCUGGAGCUCAACUCCAGAACUGCCUUUGAUACUGGCGUGCUCGAGUGUGGGAGAGGUUGGUGGAACUCCGAGUGUAGAGGUGAAAUUCGUAGAUAUUCGGAAGAACACCAGUGGCGAAGGCGGCCAACUGGCCCAUUACUGACGCUGAUGUGCGAAAGCGUGGGGGGCAAACAGG
rnacentral:rRNA from 1 species